rnacentral:rRNA from 1 species
CCAUGAGAAAUAUUUUUUUAAAGGACGAGAUUUGAGGGGGAUUGAGCUGGCCUCUCGGGGCAAGUGCUCGGUCCUCUGCUCAAUCCAUCUACCCCUGUGCACCUAUUGUGGGUACUAUGUCGCGGAAGGGGGGCUGGCUAACGGCCUUUCGGAUGCGCAUAUACUCAUGUUUUACACACUACGCAUGUCCUAGAAUGUCUUUUUUUGCGAUAAUCGCAUGUAAUACAACUUUCAACAACGGAUCUCUUGGCUCUCGCAUCGAUGAAGAACGCAGCGAAAUGCGAUAAGUAAUGUGAAUUGCAGAAUUCAGUGAAUCAUCGAAUCUUUGAACGCACCUUGCGCUCCUUGGUAUUCCGAGGAGCAUGCCUGUUUGAGUGUCAUGAAUCUCUCAAUUGCUCUGGCUUUGUUGACAGAGCAGUUGGACUUGGGGGCUUGCCGGCCUAGUCGGCUUCCCUUGAAUGCAUUAGCUUGGGUCUUGACCGCAAGGAUCCUCGGUGUGAUAAUUAUCUACGCCGUGACAACUUGUGGCGCGUGUGACCGCACCCCUCGGGUGGCGUGUGACCGGACCGCUAAAGCUUACAAUCGUCCUCGGACAACUUCUUGACAUCUGACCUCAAAUCAGGUAGGACUACCCGCUGAACUUAAGCAUAUCAAUAAGCGGAGGAGAUCAUUACCGAGUUUUGAAAGGGGGAUUGAGCUGGCCUCCUGGGGCAAGUGCUCGGUCCUCUGCUCAAUCAUCUACCUGUGCACUAUUGUGGGUACUAUGUCCGGAAGGGGGGCUGGCUUACGGCCUUUCGGAAGGCGCAUAAUACGCAGUUUUCUACAUCCGCACAAAGAUGUUUUUUU